GACAGAGGGUGCAAACGUUGUUCGGAAUUACUGGGCGUAAAGCGUGUGUAGGCGGCUCUGCAAGUCGGAUGUGAAAGCCCCGGGCUCAACCUGGGAAGUGCACUCGAAACUGCUGAGCUUGAGUAUCGGAGAGGUUGGUGGAAUUCCAGGUGUAGCGGUGAAAUGCGUAGAUAUCUGGAGGAACAUCGGUGGCGAAGGCGGCAUCCUGGACCGGUAUUGACGCUGAGGCGCGAAAGCCAGGGGAGCAAACGGG
rnacentral:rRNA from 1 species